UUCGGUAAUUAUAAUUCUGAAUGAAAUAGAUAAGCUUACAUUGCAUUUGAUAUCUGCAAAUUCAAAUAAGGUCACGACAGUUAAUCUAACUAGAACUGGACUUGACUCUCACUCUUAUUUCUCAAAAGAGCAAAGAACUUGAGGGAGAAGUUUGCCAGUUCGGUGUAAAAUUACGAGAUAUUUCGACAGCUGUAAAAGAAGUUAAGAAAAAAAUAACUCAUGAGAAACGACAAAUAACUGGAGUAGUUGGAGAAAGUUAUGUAAUUUUUUCAGAUGGAAAAAUAAUUAAGGGACUGAAAUAUAAACAAUAAGUUCGAGGAAAAUUGAUCAAUAGUUCAUUGGAACGAUAGCGAAAGAUAUGACUCAAAAAAUCAGACACUCACUGCACAGAUGGAACAGCUCGAUGUGAGAAUGGCACGUACCAGGUACCUUUUCGAGAAGAAUAGUUAUGAGCUAAAAACGAGGAACAUUUUCUAAAGUGUAAGAUUACCCUUUAAAAUUCCGAUGGUUUAAGAAGCUCUGAAAUUUUUUUCUUCAGA